rnacentral:rRNA from 1 species
UACGUAGGGGGCUAGCGUUGUCCGGAUUUAUUGGGCGUAAAGAGCGUGUAGGCGGCCAAGUAGGUCCGGUGUGAAAACUCGAGGCUUAACCUCCGAGAUGUCAUCGGGAAACCAUUUGGCUAGAGUUCGGUAGGGGAGACUGGAAUUCCUGGUGUAGCGGUGAAAUGCGCAGAUAUCAGGAGGAACACCGGUGGCGAAGGCGGGUCUCUGGGACGGUACUGACGCUGAGACGCGAAAGCGUGGGGAGCGAACAGG